rnacentral:rRNA from 1 species
AAACUAACAAGGAUUCCCCUAGUAGCGGCGAGCGAAGCGGGAAAAGCUCAAAUUUGUAAUCUGGCGCUUUCGGCGUCCGAGUUGUAAUCUCGAGAAGUGUUUUCCGCGUCAGACCGCACACAAGUCUCCUGGAACGGAGCGUCACAGUGGUGAGAACCCAGUACACGGUGCGGAUGCCUGAUGCUUUGUGAUACACUUUCGAAGAGUCGAGUUGUUUGGGAAUGCAGCUCAAAUUGGGUGGUAAAUUCCAUCUAAAGCUAAAUAUUGGCGAGAGACCGAUAGCGAACAAGUACCGUGAGGGAAAGAUGAAAAGCACUUUGGAAAGAGAGUUAACAGUACGUGAAAUUGUUGGAAGGGAAACGCUUGAAGUCAGACUUGCUAUUCGGAGCUUGCUUCGAUUCGCAGGCCCGCAUCAGUUUUCCGGGGCGGAAAAUCGUAAGGAGAAGGUAGCAGUUUCGGCUGUGUUAUAGCUCUUUACUGGAUUCGUCCUGGGGGACUGAGGAACGCAGCGUGCUUUUUGCAUGGGCUUCGGCCCAUCCACGCUUAGGAUGCGGGUGGAAUGGCUUUAAACGAC